UCUGUUUGCUUUAUUGCGAGUGGAUUGAUGGGAACUUUUUUAAACCUCGCCAUUUAGAGGAAGGUGAAGUCGUAACAAGGUUUCCGUAGGUGAACCUGCGGAAGGAUCAUUA